rnacentral:rRNA from 1 species
AUUCCAGCUCCAAUAGCGUAUAUUAAUGUUGUUGCAGUUAAAAAGCUCGUAGUUGGAUUUCUGGUCGGGACGUCUGGCCGGCUCCGCAAGGGGUCGUUGCAUUGACUGUACUCGUCCAUCCUCAGGUUGACUAGCUCUGGUAUUUAUUUAUCGGUGUUAGAACGCCUGUCGUUUACUGUGAACAAAUUAGAGUGUUCAAAGCAAGGUGUACUUGAAUACAUUAGCAUGGAAUAAUAAGAUAGGACUUUGGUGGUUCUUUUUGAUAUUUUGUUGGUUUGCACGCCAAAGUAAUGAUUAAUAGGAGCAGUUGGGGGUAUUCGUAUUCAAUUGUCAGAGGUGAAAUUCUUGGAUUUAUAGAAGACGAACUACUGCGAAAGCAUUUACCAAGGAUGUUUUCAUCG